UAGCUCAGCUGGAUAGAGCAACGCCCUUCUAAGGCGUGGGUCAAAGGUUCGAAUCCUUU
rnacentral:tRNA from 1 species